ACGCUCGACACCUACGUGAGGCAGCAGUGGGGAAUAUUGCACAAUGGGGGAAACCCUGAUGCAGCGACGCCGCGUGGAGGAAGAAGGUCUCCGGAUUGUAAACUCCUGUUGUUGGGGAAAAAGAGGAUGGUACCCAACAAGGAAGUGACGGCUAACUACGUGCCAUCAGCCGCGGUAAUCUGAGCGGGCUGGCAAGGC
rnacentral:rRNA from 1 species